GCACAAAGAUGGAUGUGGUUUGCCACUUAGUGGCGGACGGGUGAGUAACACGUGGGUAAUCUGCCUAUGAGAUUGGAACAACACAGGGAAACUUGUGCUAAUACCAAAUAAUACUUAGAAAUAAUUUUUCUAUUUUGAAAGAUGCCUUUAAAGCAUCGCUCAUAGAUGAGCCUGCGUCGUAUUAGCUAGUUGGUAGGGUAAUGGCCGACCAAGGCAACGAUGCGUAGCCGAACUGAGAGGUUGAUCGGCCACACUGGGACUGAGACACGGCCCAGACUCCUACGGGAGACAGCAGUGGGGAAUAUUGGACAAUGGGCGCAAGCCUGAUCCAGCCAUGCCGCGUGAGUGAUGAAGGCCCUAGGGUUGUAAAGCUCUUUCAACGGUGAAGAUAAUGACGGUAACCGUAGAAGAAGCCCCGGCUAACUUCGUGCCAGCCGCCGCCGUAA
rnacentral:rRNA from 1 species